UACGUAGGGGGCAAGCGUUGUCCGGAAUCAUUGGGCGUAAAGCGCGUGUAGGCGGCUGAGUAAGUCUGCUCUGAAAGCCCGGGGCUCAACCCCGGGAGGCGGGUGGAUACUGCUCAGCUCGAGUCCGGAAGAGGAGUGUGGAAUUCCUGGUGUAGCGGUGAAAUGCGCAGAUAUCAGGAGGAACACCUAAGGCGAAGGCAGCUCGCUGGAACGGUACUGACGCUGAGGCGCGAAAGCGUGGGGAGCAAACAGG
rnacentral:rRNA from 1 species